rnacentral:rRNA from 1 species
GACGGAGGAUGCGAGUGUUAUCCGGAAUCACUGGGCGUAAAGCGUCUGUAGGUGGUUUAAUAAGUCAACUGUUAAAUCUUGAGGCUCAACUUCAAAAUCGCAGCUGAAACUAUUAGACUAGAGUAUAGUAGAGGUAAAGGGAAUUUCCAGUGGAGCGGUGAAAUGCGUAGAUAUUGGAAAGAACACCGAUGGCGAAAGCACUUUACUGGGCUAUUACUAACACUCAGAGACGAAAGCUAGGGUAGCAAAUGGG